GGUCAAGCGAGCGAAUGCAAGUCGGGGAUGCCUUGGCACACGAAGGCGAUGAAGGGCGCGGUAAGCUGCGAUAAGCCUAGGGGAGCGGCACACACGCAUCGAUCCUAGGAUGCCCGAAUGGGGAAACCCGGCCGUCAGCGAUGGCGGUCACGCCGAAAGGCGAGCGAACCCAGGGAACUGAAACAUCUAAGUACCUGGUGGAAAGAGAAAUCAACCGAGAUGCCCUCAGUAGCGGCGAGCGAACGGGGCAGAGCCCAAACCGAGGUCCUUGUGGCCGCGGGGUUGUAGGACCCACAUACGCGUCAGGCGACGUCAGCUGAAGUGCGACUGGAACGUCCUGCCAUAGACGGUGAAAGCCCGGUAAGCGAAGACCAUGCACCUGGCGUAGUGGAGUUCCUGAGUAACGCCCGACCCGAGUAAUCGGGCGUGAAACCGGGGGGACCACCCUCCAAGGCUAAAGACUCUCGUGUGACCGAUAGUGAACGAGUACCGUGAGGGAAAGGUGAAAAGCACCCCAGUGCGGGGAGUGAAAGAGAUCCUGAAACGACUUGCAUACAAGCGGUAGGAGGCUGGUCAGGGGCUUGCCCUUGAUACGGCUGACUGCGUGCCUUUUGCAUUAUGAUCCGGCGAGUUACUCCUCAGGAGCGAGGCUAAGCUGCUCAGCAGCGGAGCCACAGCGAAAGCGAGUCCUGUAACGAGGGCGACUGAGUUCCUGGGGGUACGACCCGAAGCCAGGGCGAUCUACCCAUGAGCAGGGUGAAGCUGCGGUAACACGCAGUGGAGGCCCGAACCGGUAUGGGCUGAAAACCGUUCGGAUGACUUGUGGGUAGGGGUGAAAGGCCAAUCAAGCCUGGAGAUAGCUGGUUCUCCCCGAAAUCUAUUGAGGUAGAGCCUCGAGACAUGUUCCUAGGAGGUAGAGCGACUGGAUGGGCGCGGGCUGGCGUAGCUGGUACCAACCCCAACCAAACUCCGAAUGCCUAUGGAAUGGACCUCGGGAGGCAGUCGCUGAGCGAUAAUGUCCAGCGGCGAGAGGGAAAGAACCCAGAACCACAGCUAAGGCCCCGAAGUGGCCGCUGAGUAUAGCGAAGGAUGUGUCCCUACACUGACAACUGGGAGGUUGGCUUAGAAGCAGCCACUCCUUUAAAGAGUGCGUAAUAGCUCACCAGUCCAGUGGGGAUGCGCCGAGAAUGGUCGGGAUUAAGCGGCCCGCCGAAGCUUGGUCUUCAUACUUUGUAUGAGGGGUAGGGGAGCGUUCUGAUCGCCUGGAAGCCACCGUGGAAACGUGUGGUGGAGCGUUCAGAAGUGAGGAUGCCGGAUUGAGUACGCGCAAAUGCGGGUGAGAACCCCGCACACCGUAAGCCCAAGGAUUCCUGCGCCAUGGCAAUCAGCGCAGGGUGAGGCGGACCCUAAGUCGAGGCCCCAGAGGCGUAGACGAUGGACAGCCGGUCAAAAUUCCGGCCCCGCCUGCAGUGUGUUAGCAACCCCAGAGGGACCCUGGAACGAAGCGCGAACGGCUUUGUGGAUGGCCGUGAAAGGGUGUAGGGCAACCGAGACCUGAUGACGAGAACGCGGGGCAACCCAAGUUCAAGUCGCGUAGAGUCGACAGGCAAGAAAAGCUCUGGUGGGGAAUGCUGCAGGUGUCCGUACCGCAAACCGACACAGGUGGGCAAGGCGAGUAGCCUAAGGUGAACGAGUGAAACCGGGUCAAGGAACUCGGCAUAAUGAUCCCGUAACUUCGGAAGAAGGGAUGCCGAUGAGGGUUGGCGACUUCGCGUCGCAGGCUCUUUUCGGUCGCAGAUAAUCGGCCCAAGCGACUGUUUAGCAAAAACACAGGUGUGUGCCAAGCCGCACAAGGCGCCGUAUACACACUGACGCCUGCCCGGUGCCGGAAGGUUAAGGGGAGAUGUUAGCCGCAAGGCGAAGCAUUGAGCCGAAGCCCCGGUAAACGGCGGCCGUAACUAUAACGGUCCUAAGGUAGCGAAAUUCCUUGUCGGGUAAGUUCCGACCUGCACGAAUGGCGUAACGACUUGGGCACUGUCUCGACCCGGUGCUCGGCGAAAUAGCAGUCUCGGUGAGGAUUCCGAGUCCCCGCAGCAGGACAAAAAGACCCCAUGCACCUUUACUGCAGCUUGUCAUUGGACGUCGCUCGUGACUGUGUAGCAUAGCUGGGAGCCGAUGAGGCCCGGGCGCUAGCUCGGGCGGAGGCAACAGUGAAAUACCAGCCUGGCUCGUGUAACGUCCUCACCACGCUCGCGCAAACCGCGGCUGGGACCGUGGCAGGUGGGCAGUUUGACUGGGGCGGUCGCCUCCGAAAGAGUAACGGAGGCGCGCGCAUGGUCCCCUCAGCGCGGACGGUACUCGCGCUUUAGAGUGUAACGGCACAAGGGGGCCUGACGGUGAGACCGACGGGUCGAGCCGCCACGAAAGUGGGCCGUAGUGAUCCGGUAGCCCGGUGUGGAUCGGCUAUCGCGCAACGGAUAAAAGGUACGCUGGGGAUAACAGGCUUAUCGCGCCCGAGAGUUCACAUCGACGGCGCGGUUUGGCACCUCGAUGUCGGCUUAUCACAUCCUGGGGCUGGAGAAGGUCCCAAGGGUCCGGCUGUUCGCCGGUUAAAGUGGUACAUGAGCUGGGUUCAGAACGUCGUGAGACAGUUCGGUCUGUAUCCGCUGUGGGCGUUGGAGAGUUGAGGGGUGCGGACUCUAGUACGAGAGGACCGAGUCGGACGAUCCGCUCGUGUCCCGGCUGUCACGCCAGUGGCACCGCCGGGUAGCGAUGAUCGGCACGGAUAACCGCUGAAAGCAUCUAAGUGGGAAGCCGUCCCCAAGAUGAACUCUCCCUGGGACCUUGAGUCCCCUGAAGGGCCGUGGGAGACCACCACGUCGAUAGGUGGGGAGUGGAAGGCCAGCAAUGGUCUCCGAGCUAACCCAUCCUAAUCGCCCGUGCGGCUUGACUAC
rnacentral:rRNA from 1 species